UGAUUCCAGUAUCAAAAGUCCCCCAUCCAUGAUCUGCUCGCACAGGAGUGGAUGAAAGACUCUAUGAUACGCCCUCUUACGGCUAUGGAACGAAAUAGCAGCCGGUAUGCAGAUAAGAGGCGGCAUGGAUGGGAGCCGCGAAACAGCGGAACCAUGCGGAAUCA
rnacentral:sRNA from 1 species